GAGCCAAUUACAAUUUUUCGUAGCACAAACAACCAAAGGGAGAACGGUUUCUCAGGAGAGGACUCUUGAUUUGCAGGUGAUUUUUUCAUCGUGUGGGGAUCUGGAUCUGCUUGAGCACCAGACAAGCUUGGUAUCUUCUGAGGACGGCGCCCGAGAGCAGGAGAACAUGGAUGACACAAACAGCGAGCAGCAGUUUAGAGUCUUCAGAGACUUCGACUUCCUAGAUGUGGAGCUGGAGGAUGGAGAGGGUGAGAGUAUGGACAAUUUCAACUGGGGAGUGCGCAGACGUUCUCUGGACAGCCUGGAUAAGUGUGAUAUGCAGAUUCUGGAGGAGCGCCAACUGUCAGGAAGCACUCCCAGCCUGAAUAAAAUGCACCAUGAGGACUCCGAUGAAUCAUCCGAGGAGGAGGACCUCACAGCCAGCCAGAUCCUGGAGCACUCAGACCUAAUCAUGACUCUCUCCCCCUCUGAAGAGACGAAUCCCAUGGAGCUGCUCACCACAGCCUGUGACUCGACCCCUGCAGAACCUCAUUCCUUUAACACCAGAAUGUCCAGCUUUGAUGCUUCCUUGCCUGAUAUGAAUAAUCUGCAGAUUUCUGAG
rnacentral:sRNA from 1 species